GAUGAAGAACGUAGCGAAAUGCGAUAAGUAAUGCGAAUUGCAGAAUUCAGUGAGUCAUCGAAUCUUUGAACGCACAUUGCGCCCUGUGGUAUUCCGCAGGGCAUGCCUGUUCGAGCGUCAUUUCAACCCUCAAGCUCUGCUUGGUGUUGGGCCCUGCCCGCUGCGGCCGGCCCUAAAGACAGUGGUGGUGCCGCCUGGCCCUGAGCGUAGUACAUCUCUCGCUCCAGUGCCCGGUGGUAGCCUGCCAGAACCCCAACUCUCGUGGUUGACCUCGGAUCAGGUAGGGAUACCCGCUGAACUUAAGCAUAUCAAUAAGCGGAGGA
rnacentral:misc_RNA from 1 species